UUCUCUCCUGUGCUUUGGAGUCUUAUUCAGGAAUUUUUUUUCAGGAGAUUUUUCCCUAGUGAAGAUCUGUGUGGCUUCCGGUUUCCUUCAGCUGGGUCUUACAGACCCCAGAGCACCCCGCCUGCUGUUACGAGCCUUUCAGCUUCUACUCCAGCCUUGCAGCAGAUCUUGAGUCCUGGCACAGGUCAUGCCCAUGCCUAUGGGUUCUUCAGCUCAUAGCUCGUGGCGUUCAUUGUUGUAUCCGGGAAACCGAUGCUUUCUGCCCAACAAUAUGUUUCAAAGCUACAAAGAAGACAAAGUGAGAUCAGUGAAAUGUCCUUUAUCUGGAAAAAUCCAGUUCUGGAAAUCAUGAGUGCCUUCACAAGAUGCAUCUUAAUAUAUGAUGACUGCCGCUGUUAAGGACCACCGAACCGGAAGAUAGGCUCGAAAAACAUUGCCGUGUGCGCUCAUCCACCUCCUUCAGCAGCUCUGGCCCCAAGUGACCUCUGGCUCUUCCCAAAACCAAAACGACCAUGAAAGGAAGCAGGAUGAUAAAACUUCUCUACUGCAAACCUGUGCUGCCUGUAUGAAGAAAGAAAAGAGGACUAGGAAGGCAGAACCAACAGCCACUGGGACCUUCUCCCAGCUCUUGAAAUCUAGUCAAGGAAUUCUGCCAGGAGUCUUCAGGUGGAAU